GUUAAAUACACCAGCCACUGCAAAGAUCAGCCGCUGGUCCCAGACCACACAUGAGGUUGCGGUAGCGCAUGGAUAAAGGCAUUAGAUUCGCUGGAGACUCGCUGGUCACUAGAGAGCUGGAAGGCUUUUACUGGUUCAAUUCUGCUGUAGCUGCCACUGACUGCUCAUCAAUGUGAGAAGCUUUCCAGAUCAGUUAAAAUCAGGUAUUCCCCAAACGCCUUCCUUUCCCCCUCGGAGUGUAUGAGGAAUAAAACAGAUUCCAACGAUCUUACCCCAGCUAACUCUCCCCAUUACAUUGGACCAACUUUGCUUUCCCAUUCUGCCUCUCAAGGCUCAUCUGAGCAUUUCAUAUACUUUAAUUGGCCCUUAGUUGAAAAGCUUUUGAUGGAUUCACAGUGCAGAAUCUGGUGGGGCACUAUCCUUGAUGUUUUCCACAGUGUCCUAGGUAAAUCUAAAAGUGAAAACUCCUGAGAACCCAGGGAAUUGUCUUUAAGAAUAGAAUGAGUUCACUUUAAUAAUCAAAUUUCUUUUCUAUUUUGAUCCUCAUAAUUGUGAAAGUCAUAUUGAGAGCUGCACUGUCUGGCUCCCUCCAUUUUGUGCAAUUAUUAAAUGUUUAUUAUAAUUUCCACAGUCUUAUCUCCCACGUAUCUAGCUAUUUUAUGCAUUUAAGAAUAGCCUCACUAAUUUCUUUCCUAAGAAUGGCUGAUAUCCCUCAUGGACUAAUGGCCAUAUGUGAAAAUCAAAUGCCCAUCAAAACUAGCAUUCUUUAAGCUUUCUGAUCUCUAUGCCUUCCUUUCUGACUUAUUGUUAAAAUCGGCAAUGUCCUUAUCUCACUUUAAUCUCAUCAAUGAAAACAUUUUGCUCUCUGUAUUCCAGUUAUCAAGAUUCUAUGCUUCUUUCAAUAGUGUCCUCAAAUAGUGACAUCGUCAUCAUUUAUUCACUUUACAUCCCAAUCACAGCCCCCUCCCUCCUCCUGUCCCAGGGCCACCCUUACAAAUCCUUCCCACCAUUGCCCCUCCCCUUCCUCAGAGAAGGGGAGUACUUUCUCCACAGCAUUUUCCUAACCCACCUUAUGUUGAUGCAACUUGUAGAAGAUUCACCUUGAAGCCACAGGAAACAUCGAUGAGAUGGGCUGACAGUUGCUACACUAACUGCUACUGUGACUUAGGCACCAUCUUCAUUGUGGCAACUUGUAGAGAAAUUAAGAUCCUCUCUCUCUCUCUCUCUCUCUCUCUCUCUCUCUCUCUCUCUCUCUCUCUCUCUCUCUCCCUACUUCUCAUGAGGAGACUUUUGCCUGAAGUUCUCCCUCCCACUAUUACUGGCCAGAGGUGGUUGCAUAACUGCUCACAAAUUACGCAUAUGAGAAAAUAACAACAUUCCCAAUAUUGAUUAAGAUAAUCAGCUUAAACUCCCCAAAGCUGGACCUGACAUUGUUCCCAUGAAGCCUAUUAUCAUGUGGUGAAUGGUGGGAUCUAAAAUAAAGUCUGAGGUCUCUUAGAACGGGAAAUAGAGAGGAAUUUUAGUUUGACUAAUCAAUGUUUAUUCUAAUUAUUAUCUCUCUCCCAUACCGCCUAUAGUGUUUUGGAAAUAUUUCCAGUUGAGCAGCAUUCUUGUGGUAUUAUGUUUCUACAUAUUUACCUCUCGCCUAUCUCCCUCUAGCUUCAAGAUGACCAAAUGGCCCACUCAAUAGCUAUAAGGACGAGAGCUAUACUGGACACAUCAGACAAAAAAAUAUCUUUAGUUACGUUCCUUGUUUCCCCCUGGAUAGUGUGGAUAUAAAAACUGUGUCUCGAGCUUGUUUCCAUAGCAGAUACUACUGUGAAGCUUCACACUCGCCUUGUGUCCUUGGCCCCUGUUAAUUCUGCGCACUGGCCCACACCUGUGAAGAUGAUGCGAGCCAAGGCCCUGUAAGUCCUCCGAGUACGGAUGAAUCCUCCAUUCAUUCUGCUUUCCACUCGGAGAAUGACGGACAGAGGUGAGCUCAAACGGAGUCUCGAAGGACAAAGCUUUUCUCUGUGAAAAGGGCAUGAACACAAUCAGAGGACAAGUAGACGGGUGUUUCCAGGAGCCAAUGAAAUAUUUUAUUUAUUUCAAUGGGAAAUCAAGCCAGCUGGCUCUUACAUGAAGCUAUCCCCUGGAAUUCACAAAUGCCACUUUCUUCUCCAUCGUGGAAGAAAAGAUACGUUGUAGUUUGGAACAAAGGUGACCCAAUAUUAUCUGGAUCGUGACAAGCCAUGAGGAAAGGGUGGCCAAAAACAAGAGCCCACCAUCUUGGUUGAGAAGGUUGAUGCGAAGCCAAACCCACUGGCUAGAGGGCGGAGACACUCCAGAUGAAGUGAUACCAGCAAGUGAUAGGAGGCACACUGAAGGGGGAAAACCUCCCCCAAACAGGCAUGGCUCAAUGUCCAUGUGCCUGACCAUGGGAAGACAGAGGUGAGUCCUCACUGACUGUGCAGUCCCACCGUAGAAAAUUUAACUGAUAGGGCUUUAAAAGAUAUUUCAUUUCCACCUUUUCCCAAGGCCAGCACAAUUAUGAGCAUAUAAGAGCAUUUUCAUGAAAGACCACAAGUGCAGAAUAACUCCACAGGAAUGUAGCAGUGCAAACAAUUACAGAUGGGCUAGCAUUUUCACUGCAACCUUUGUUUUUAUGGACAAAUACUUUUGUGUUACAACCACCUACACCAAUCAAGAGGAGAGCAUAUUGUGCAGCCCUUUAGUGAGGAGUAACAUUGAGCCUGUAUACCAUGUAGCCUGUAUGAAGAGGACUACAUCUGCAUAAGUAGACUGUGAUAUUCAUUCAUUCAUUCAUUCAUUCAUUCAUGCUGAAAUUACUUAGUAAGUAACAGAAUUCUCAGAACACACCCUACGGUUAAACCACACAGCUCGCUAGAGCUUAAGCCUCUUUCGUUCUUCUUCUUUUCCCCUUGCUUUCACGCCCUGGUUUCUAAUCUUCAUUUUUCAGCAUAGAGCAGAAGCACACAUACUCUGCAAGUAAAUGAUACUGGCAUUCUACUUUUCAUGUGCUAAGCAUAAUCCAAAAAUAUGUGUCAUAUUUAGAAAACCGAGGUUUAGAAUGAUUAAUCUUCUUGCCUAGCUCACAAAGGUCACAUGUUUCCGAACUACCAUUCAAAAGCAGACAGUCUGGCUCCAGAGUCUGUGAUCUUAAUAUCAUCACUUUGUUACAUUAAAUAU
rnacentral:lncRNA from 1 species